UGGGGAAUAUUGGUCAAUGGGGGAAACCCUGAACCAGCAACGCCGCGUGAGGGAAGACGGUUUUCGGAUUGUAAACCUCUGUCCUCUGUGAAGAUGAUGACGGUAGCAGAGGAGGAAGCUCCGGCUAACUACGUGCCAGCAGCCGCGGUAAUACGUAGGGAGCGAGCGUUGUCCGGAUUUACUGGGUGUAAAGGGUGCGUAGGCGGCUCUGUAAGUCAGAAGUGAAAUCCAUGGGCUCAACCCAUGAACUGCUUUUGAAACUGUGGAGCUUGAGUGAAGUAGAGGUAGGCGGAAUUCCCGGUGUAGCGGUGAAAUGCGUAGAGAUCGGGAGGAACACCAGUGGCGAAGGCGGCCUACUGGGCUUUAACUGACGCUGAGGCACGAAAGCGUGGGUAGCAAACA
rnacentral:rRNA from 1 species